ACACGCCAUAAUAAAAUGCUUCAGUAUGCCCUGACUUGGCUUCAGGCCAUUUCCCAUAUAGGAGUCAAUUUUAAUAAUCUUAAAAUCACUCAAAAGACUGAGGAGAAUCCAGCCACCUUUUUAAGCUGCUUAACUGCUGCUUUACAUUAAAAGCUUAAAAAGCAGAAGAAAGGCCCUCAAACCCAGGUCCGAGAUUUAGCGAAUAUGGCAUUUAAGGUUUUUUAACAGCCGUGAGGAGCAGGCAGCCAGUCCAUGAACCUGGUUCUGGCAGAAGGUAAAUUAUCAACCCAAGCCUUAGUAGCAGCCCUGCAGCUGGGGAGGCCCCAGAAGGGCAGCGUGGGGCAAGGGUGCAUGGGAACAAGGACCACCACCUGGUGCCUGCUUCAAAUGCAGGGAAGGGCCCUGGUCACAGGAGUGCCCCAGGGCAGGAGCUCCAACCAAACCCUGCCCAGCGUGCUGUCAAAGCAGACACUGGAAGGCCGACUGUCCUGGGAAAAGUGACAGGCCCUUUGUGUCUCCACGUGGGGGGACUGUCCUUCCAAUUCCUGACCGCUGUUGGCCCUGCUGGGAUUGGCCGAAGUCUGAAGAGACCCUGACUGGACCCCCAUCACCCUCGCUGAGCCUGGGGCAUUGCUCAAGGUAUUGGCUCUAUCUCCAACCUGACCUUCAAUCAGCUUCUUCACCCUUACAGUCCGCUGCCGACUGGCCCGGCCCCCAAACCUUCCACCUAUCUCAGCAGGAAGUAAUUAAGACAGAAAAACAUUGCCCCAUUUCCAAUAUUAAGAAGUUUGGAAUGUUGGGUCGGGUCUGAACUAGGCAGCCCCAGUUUGGACUAAGCUGAAGCAGGUUUGGGCCCUGCAAGUGCUUCCUUCCCUGCAUGUCCCAGAGGUCAGCAGCAGUGGGUGCCAGUGAAACCUGAUGUUCCUGGUUCAAAGAAAACCUCCUGGAGUUGACAGGCAACUCUCCCAGUUUCCAGACCCCAUAUGCUAAUUGCCAUACAUUCCUCACCACCCCUUUAAAAACCCUGGCCCCCAGCUGCUGAGCAGGACUUCCCUAGUCUGGGAGCUCCCCUAGCCCCUAAUAAAGCUACUUUCUGUUUCUGCUC